CAAGAGGGGCCACGUCACUUUGCGUAUAAACUCACUUAUAAUGACUGCUUCGCUAAUGUAAAAUCUCUAAAGUGAGGAUGGCAGGGAGUUUAUUAGCAGUCUGUGUUGCCAUAGCCUGCCUGGCAACCACAGUCAACUCCGUCUCCUUUUUUAUGGAGCCCGGCACGGUGAAAUGCUUCUCUGACACUCAAAUUAGUAAGGAUACUUUGGUUACAGGUGAAUAUGUUGUAUCGGAGGCCGCAGCAGCACAGAAAAUGAGGAUACAGGUUUUAGAUACGGCAAACCACAUAUUGUACAAGAAUGAUGACGCAAGGAAAGGCAAAUUCGCUAUCACCACUUCAGAGAACAACUAUUACGAAGUGUGUUUUAAGGACAAUUCACCGGGACAAGGGGCAGUUAGACGCGAAGUGUCAAUCAACAUCAAGCAUGGCACCGAGGCUAAAGCCUAUCAAAACCUAGCGCAAGCGGAGAAGCUCAAACCAAUAGAACUUGCAAUGCGCCGACUAGAGGACAUGGCGGAUGAGAUCGUCAGCUCAUUCGCGUACUUCAGAGAGAGAGAAGAAGAGCAGAGAAACACAAACAAUUCCACGAAUACUCGCGUAGUACUGUUCUCCUUAUUGUCUGUCUUAUGCCUGGUCGCCCUUGCCAUCGGUCAGCUGGUCUACCUCAAGCAGUUCUUCGUGUCCAAGAAACUCAUCGAGUCCUGAUACUAGCAAAAUCACGUGCGAACGCAACCCCCCACAACGGCCGAAGGUUCACUUUCGGUUCCCAAUGGACGUGCUAUUUGGUAGACAAAAUUAUAAAGCAUAGCUAGAUCACUCUGGUACGUAGCCAAAGGAAUAAAAAAAAUCCCUUUUUGUUCUUUCGGGGAUGGUAAGAAUUUCAUCAGAGAACGUAUUCCCUCCCUUUUUGAUUUGAGAAUUCAUAUUUUGAACAUUUGAAAAUUUCACUUCAAGCCUCAUAUUUCAAAGAGGAACCAUUAGAAAAAAAUAGUUUUUGAUAUGUUGGUUAACAUAACAUAAGGAACCUUUAUGCAAAAAUUCAAGCUAACUGAAGUAAACCAGACCUUUAUUUUGGUAAAACUUGACAUUUUUUUGCUCUGUCAGCAUGACUAUUGCCUUGGCCAAGCAUAAUGCCCCCCUCCCCCCCCCCCCCCCCUUGAUCAUGACGACCGACAGAGAAGUUUAAAACAUUCGAGUCAUUCUGCUACAGGUAAUAGAAUGGGUGGAAUGACCUUCAUUCCAUUCCGGAAAAGGAACGCAGGAUAAACUGACGCGCGCUUUUUCUAUUCUAAUCAUUCUCAUUCCGGAAUCACGAGUAAAAAAACGCGCCCUUAAUUACCGUAGCUUCAUAAUUGAGCUCAUAAAAUUAAAACAGAAAAUGUAGAGGAGGCUUCAAAACUUAAAUAGCGAGGCGUGCUUUUAAGCGGGUGUCCUUAGACCGGAGCUUAGGGGUGUAGCUGGGUAAGAGAACAGUUAAAAAGACCAAGACGGAAAAAUAAAAUAUUGUUUGAAACUUUGUGUCGUUAAAAAUUAUAACAUUUAUAAACAAUCUAUUUGUGAGUAAUGUGCUAUUCAUUUGAGACAGGGGCUCAUAAGUAGGGGCAAUCAACUUCCCCAUGUUCUGGUACUAUAUUGAUGUCACGGCGUUUCCUAGGAUCAGGCUAUUUUUAGACGCGCGGAUGAGCCAAUCAGAUUCAACCUUUGGGCUGAGCUCAACUGCACGCGCAUUCUCAGACAAAAAGCUAUGUUCUCUCUUCGGUACUUUGACUUUGUGUUGCUCUCCUUUUAAAUAUGAAUCCAACCCGACCUAUGACUUUGAAUUCUAGCUUGCAAUUCUUUUGGUAAACAAACAAUACCGACGGAUGAUAGAUAAAGAAUAUAUUCUUCCCAACUGCCAUUUGCGCGUGCAGCCCCACGUCACUCUCGCGCGCGACCAACGUCAACGUAGCUGAUUGGCCCGUUCGUGCGCGCGCGUCUAAAAAUAGCCUGAUCCUAGGAAACGCUGUGACAUUUAUAUAAUACAGAUGAUUGCCCCUACUUAUGAGCCCCUGUUUAAUAGCAUUAUUUUAGAGCAUAUUUUUCUUUAAAGUAAAGCAAUAAGAUGCUUAUUAUGAAUAUCCUAGAUCCUAAAGACUUGUAUGUGCUAGGUGAGAUUUGAUUGUGCGCAAAAUAACGCUUAUCGCUAUUUAUCCAGUGUUAUGUUGGGCUCCCUGUGUGUCUCAAUGGGCCUGCGAUGAUAUGACUCCGCUGAAAAUGGCAGAACCUUCCUUUAUGUUCCUUAUGUUAUCUUUCAAUCUGAAAUACAAGUUCCGGCUUUAAGAUCAAGGCUGCGACUAGGAAAUGUUUAACCGAUUUUGCUCAGAAAGACCAGCUUUUUAAGGCAGACUACGAAAUCUCUCACGAUCAGUCUUCUACCGUAAAAAUAACGGUCAUAGAUAUUGAUGUCACUUUACAGCUGCUAUUCACCAAAGAAAAUGCCACAAAGGGCAAGUUUGCAUUUACCUUUGAUAGAGAUGGCCACUUCGACCUGUGCUUUGAUAACCAAGAUGUGUCCUGUGGUCAUGAGUCACAUGUUAGCUGUCUGAGGUGUCUAACAUUGCCCUUGACUUGCUGUGUCUGAAUCGCAAUUCAGCAAUCCAGGUGCAGGGGGAGUGAUUGGCUAUUUUAUUUUUAUAUUGCUAUGUAUCACAAGUGGUUACUAAGAGUUACUGCUGAGAUACAAGAAACGAUGGAAAAGUCUUGUUAUUCCGACUUGGAAGUGGAUCGGAUAGCAUUGUUUUCUUGAAGAUCAAGAGAGGGUCAGAGGCCAAAAACUAUGAAAAUUUGGCCUUGGCUCAAAAGCUUCAACCUCAGGAGAUAGAGGUGAUGAGGUUAGCUGACAUGUCAUCUGAAGUCUUGACAAGUCUUGGCAGGCUCAUCAAUAGGGGUGAAGACCACCUCAUUACUAAUGAAUCCACUGGUGCUCGGAUUCUGUACUUGGGAGUCUUCCUGACAAUGCUACUGGUUAUGUUAACAGGAGGACAGCUUGUUUACCUCCACCGUUUCUUUGCAGCAAAGAAGCUUAUAUAAAUAGCUUCAAAGGAGCUUUGUUGCAAGAAAAGCUGCCUUGAAGAAAUGUAUCUUUGAUUCAAAGUUUUUCUAGAAAAAAUGGUGAGACAUUUGUAUGACCUCUGAUAGAAUGUAUCUAAGUUGCACAGCUGUAUCAAUGCAUAAAUAAAUGUUUUUAUUAGAAAUAAAUUAUAUCCAAGAAAUUGA